GACGGGGCCCGCACAAGCAGUGGAGUAUGUGGUUAAUUCGAAGCAACGCGAAGAACCUUACCAGGGCUUGACAUCCCUUGAAGCAGCUAGAGAUAGCUGUGUCCUUCGGGACAAGGAGACAGGUGGUGCAUGGUUGUCGUCAGCUCGUGUCGUGAGAUGUUGGGUUAAGUCCCGCAACGAGCGCAACCCUUAUCUUUAAUUGCCAGCAUUCAGUUGGGCACUUUAAAGAGACUGCCGGUGUUAAACCGGAGGAAGUGGGAUGACGUCAAGUCCUCAUGGCCUUUAUGCUUAGGGCUACACACGUGCUACAAUGGGUGGUACAAAGAGAAGCCAACUCGCGAGAGCGCGCCAAUCUCAAAAAGCCAUCCUCAGUUCGGAUUGGAGUCUGCAACUCGACUUCAUGAAGUUGGAAUCGCUAGUAAUCGCGGAUCAGCACGCCGCGGUGAAUACGUUCCCGGGCCUU
rnacentral:rRNA from 1 species